rnacentral:rRNA from 1 species
GUGGGGAAUAUUGGACAAUGGGGGGAACCCUGAUCCAGCCAUGCCGCGUGUGUGAAGAAGGCCUUUUGGUUGUAAAGCACUUUAAGCGAGGAGGAGGCUACCGAGAUUAAUACUCUUGGAUAGUGGACGUUACUCGCAGAAUAAGCACCGGCUAACUCUGUGCCAGCAGCCGCGGUAAUACAGAGGGUGCAAGCGUUAAUCGGAUUUACUGGGCGUAAAGCGCGCGUAGGUGGCCAAUUAAGUCAAAUGUGAAAUCCCCGAGCUUAACUUGGGAAUUGUAUUCGAUACUGGUUGGCUAGAGUAUGGGAGAGGAUGGUAGAAUUCCAGGUGUAGCGGUGAAAUGCGUAGAGAUCUGGAGGAAUACCGAUGGCGAAGGCAGCCAUCUGGCCUAAUACUGACACUGAGGUGCGAAAGCAUGGGGAGCAAACAGGAUUAGAAACCCGGGUAGUCC